CUCACCCAACGCCUUUGAAAUCCCCCUUCCUCUCUCCCUCGAUCGCCGCCGCACCGGCACCUCGCCGGCGUCACCCAUCUCCCCCUGCCCCGGAACUCCUCCCCUCCGCUAUCCCCACCUCCCUCCGACUCUGUUCCGGCCGAUCCGGAGGCCCACGCACAGGAUCGACCGACGCCGCCCAAGACUCGCCGACGGGAGGAACGGCGGCGCAGAGACCAAGGCUACGCGGCUCCGUCGAGCUGGCCGGACCGGGUCUGCAGCGUAGGUCGAACGCCGGCGACGUGCCUCCGGCCACCAGGACGUGCUCCGGCGGCGAGGGGACGUUGGAGGAGGUCGCGCGGUUGUUGGGUGCUCUCCGCCUGGCCGCCGAUUCCGUCGCCAGCUCCGGGCCCUUCUCUACAUCGCCCUCGUACGCGACGAGCUCGCGUCCACCGCCCAGCUUUGCCCUGCAGGUUCCUUGACGGGAGCUGCAGCUCGCAGGGGUCUAGGCUCGCAAUGAUGCCCAUCGCCUGCAAGUACGAGGAGAUCUAGGUGCCCGAGGUGCAUAAGAGCAUGUGGUGUGACUGUUGUUGGGCAGGCCGUGGUGGUGGUGUUAUCUCGGUUUCGGCCACAAUUUCUUCCGGGCUAGGAGGACUAAACGACAGAUAAGAUGGAACCAGCAGACACAGUACUUAAGCUGGAGUACCUAGGGACAACUGAGACAUGUAUCAGUUCUUCUUUGCUUAUAAGCAUUAGGUGCGCAAUGGGCUAGGAGAACUGAAUGACAGACAAGAUGGAACCAGUAGGGACAGUACUUAAGCUGGAGUACCCGGGGAUAACUGAGACAUGUAUCAGUUCUAUUUUGCUUGUAAGCAUCAGCUGCAAAAUGCUGCUGCAGGCAGCUGAUGGAGGACUUACGGCUAGCAGCUUGGCAUGGUCUUGGUCACCGGCACCAGUACCCUGCUGCUCCAGGAACUCACCAGCAGAGGACGGACGUGGUAAGCUGAGGACGAGGUGUGGUGUUCCUCGAACUCACCAGCAUAGGCCGGACGAGCUGGCUGGUCUGCAGCAUGGUGCACACUUUUGUUGUUGCUGCUGUAUGUUGAGAACCUAUGCUGGCUCGAUCUGUGAGCAGAUGAUGAGUCGAGUGGUGGUGGUGGUGUUAUUAUUAUUAUU